AGGCUAGUGAGCGAUAGGUCAAGAUUCCUGGAAUGGGUUUUGGUCUAAACGGCGUGACAGCAUCUUGUCGUGUCCGCCCGAGGAUGGGACUGCGGCCGAUCAGGCUGUUGGUGGGGUAAAGGCCCACCAAACCAGUAACCGGUACGGGCUUUGAGAGAAGGAGCCCGGAGAUGGACACUGAGACAAGGGUCCAGGUCCUACGGGGCGCAGCAGGCGCGAAACCUUCGCAAUGCGCGCAAGCGCGACGAGGUUAUUCCGAGUGAUUUCCGCUGAGGAAAUCUUUUCUCAGAUCUAAAAAGUCUGGGGAAUAAGGGGAGGGCAAGUCUGGUGUCAGCCGCCGCGGUAAUACCAGCUCCUCGAGUGGUCAGGGCGUUUAUUGGGCCUAAAGCAUCCGUAGCCUGCUCGGUAGGUCUCCUGUUAAAUCCAACGGCUCAACCGUUGGUCUGCAGGAGAUACCGCUGGGCUAGGAGGCGGGAGAGGCGGACGGUACUCCGAGGGUAGGGGUAAAAUCCUUUGAUCCCCGGAAGACCACCAGUGGCGAAGGCGGUCCGCCAGAACGCGCUCGACAGUGAGGGAUGAAAGCUGGGGGAGCGAACCGGAUUAGAUACCCGGGUAGUCCCAGCUGUAAACGAUGCGAGCUAGGUGACACGACGCCUUCGGGGCAUCGUGGUGCCGCAGGGAAGCCGUUAGGCUCGCCGCC
rnacentral:rRNA from 1 species